GGGGGCGCACGGUUUCGACGGGGAAACGUAGGCCACGGGAGCAUGCCGGGGGGGUUACCCCGUUAGUAAAGCCAAAGCAUAUAAUUGCUAACGACGAAUACGCACUCGCUGCCGCUUAAGGCACGAUGUCCUCAGUUAAGACUCGCCCAUGGUCUGACUGAGGGCACAAACAACUAGUGGGAUUGCUCCUUUGAUUGUCUCGGCUCAGGGGUGAAAUUUAGGGACUGCUUCCGCCUGUAGAAUUGUCUGUGUUUCAGCAGGCGGGAAAAGACAAAUACAUAGACUAAGCAUGUAGGGCCUUUGGUUGAAAGUUCUUCGGACGUGGGUUCGAUUCCCACCGCCUCCAUUU
rnacentral:tmRNA from 1 species